GACGGGAUAGUUUAGCGGUAGAACAAUGGAAUCAUAACCCAUAAGUCGAGAGUUCGAAUCUCUCUUCCGUCA